GCAAAGCGACUGAAAUAGAUGCCUGAAUAUGCACGGAGACGUAGACAUGAUUCUGUUUCUGCUACACAUGACUGACUGGUUAGUGUAUCUCGAGAGGAGAAUAUUCUACUUCAAAAUAACUCACUGUGUGUCACAUGUUCA